AACGAACGCUGGCGGCAUGCCUAACUCAUGCAAGUCGAACGAAGCCUUCGGGCUUAGUGGCGCACGGGUGCGUAACGCGUGGGAAUCUGCCCUUGGGUUCGGAAUAACAGUUAGAAAUGACUGCUAAUACCGGAUGAUGUCUUCGGACCAAAGAUUUAUCGCCCAAGGAUGAGCCCGCGUAGGAUUAGGUAGUUGGUGGGGUAAUGGCCCACCAAGCCGACGAUCCUUAGCUGGUCCGAGAGGAUGAUCAGCCACACUGGGACUGAGACACGGCCCAGACUCCUACGGGAGGCAGCAGUGGGGAAUAUUGGACAAUGGGCGAAAGCCUGAUCCAGCAAUGCCGCGUGAGUGAUGAAGGCCGUAGGGUUGUAAAGCUCUUUUACCAGGGAUGAUAAUGACAGUACCUGGAGAAUAAGCUCCGGCUAACUCCGUGCCAGCAGCCGCCGUAAGAC
rnacentral:rRNA from 1 species